rnacentral:lncRNA from 1 species
GUACACGGAUGGUGCAAAUCGGAUGCGACGAAUGUCAAUCGAAUAGGGCUACCAAAGUCCUCUUCUAUGUCCACACUCUAAAACCUCGGGAACGUAGGUAGAAAUCCAAAGAGAAAGAAGAGCGAGAAAAAGGAAGAUUGAUCGUGAAUUCUCUUAGAUCGAAUUAGAUCGUAUGAUACGAGAGAGAAAGGGGACGUAUUUAUAGAAUAUUAGAACCCUUAAAUACCUUGAAUCUCACACAGAGAUUACUAUUAGGAUAUCCAUAAUAGAUAUCCAAUAGAAUAUAUGUUUCUUAACUAAUAAGAAACAUAUAAUCUAUUAUUAUCCUUAACUUAUUAGGAUAAAUUUUAAUCCACAUCUUAUGUUGAUCGGAUUAAAUUAAAACCCGCCAAUAUGGACACACAACAUGGUAACAAAAUCAUCAUUAUACAAAUCAACCUCUGGAAACAUCAUAUUGUCAUUCA